rnacentral:tRNA from 1 species
GAGGGUGUAGCUCAGUGGGUAGAGUACGUGCUUAACAUGCAGGAGUUCCUGGGUUCAAUACCCAGUGCCUCCA